rnacentral:snRNA from 1 species
GUCUUGUAUGAAAGGAGAGAAGGUUAGCAAGGUCAAGUUCCCCUUGACAUGAAUGGAAGAGGGCCUUAGGCCUGACAACACACACACACACACACAC